rnacentral:rRNA from 1 species
GGCGUCUAGCAUGCAGUCGGGCGGUAAGGGGGAGCAAUCCUCCCUAGAGCGGCGGACUGGUGAGUAACGCGUGGGUGACCUGCCCUUAGGUUGGGGAUAGCCCCUAGAAAUAGGGGGUAAUACCGAAUACGGUUAUCUGGUUAUGACUGGAUAAAGAAAGGAGCUUCGGCUUCGCCUGGGGAUGGGCCCGCGUCCCAUUAGCUAGUUGGCGGGGUAAGGGCCCACCAAGGCUCUGAUGGGUAGCCGGCCUGAGAGGGUGAACGGCCACACUGGGACUGAGAUACGGCCCAGACUCCUACGGGAGGCAGCAGCUAAGAAUAUUCCGCAAUGGUCGAAAGACUGACGGAGCGACGCCGCGUGGAUGAUGAAGGCCGAAAGGUUGUAAAAUCCUUUUGUUGCUGAAGAAUAAGCUUUGCAGGGAAUGGCAGGGCGAUGACGUUAGGCAACGAAUAAGCCCCGGCUAAUUACGUGCCAGCAGCCGCGGUAACACGUAAGGGGCGAGCGUUGUUCGGAAUUAUUGGGCGUAAAGGGCGCGUAGGCGGCAGAGUAAGCCCGGCGUGAAAUACUUCGGCUUAACCGGGGAACUGCGUUGGGAACUGCUGUGCUUGAGUCUCGGAGGGGGAGUUGGAAUUCCUAGUGUAGGGGUGAAAUCUGUAGAUAUUAGGAAGAACACCGGUGGCGAAGGCGGACUUCCAGCCGGAGACUGACGCUGAGGCGCGAAAGUGCGGGGAGCAAACAGGAUUAGAUACCCUGGUAGUCCGCACCAUAAACGAUGUACACUAGGUGUUGGGCCGUGCGGCUCGGUGCCGAAGCAAACGUGAUAAGUGUACGCCUGGGGAGUAUGCCCGCAAGGGUGAAACUCAAAGGAAUGACGGGGGCCCGC